AAGAGCAAGCUCAGUGUUUCCUUCAAGCAGCAUCGUGGACAGAUUCCUGCCAGACCCUUCAGAGCAAGCACCCCACACCCCUAGCCCAGGGUCUCUUCAUCGAUAGGGGGUGAUCUGUCUGCCCCUCACUGUUUUCUCCAAAUAGGCCCCCAAAGGCUCUGCGCAGACCAGCACUGUCUCCUCCUUCAUCCACAGAGAGGAUGAAAGAACAUGGCAAGAGGAAGACUCACAGAACCCCACAGAGAAGCUUUGAGAAUUGGGCUGUCUGGCUCUCCCAUCACCCAUUUGGCCACCAGCUUUGGUCCCAGCUGCUGUGCCCUCGGGGGAUGCAUUAUGGCCCUGAAAGGGGCCCUUGUCCCUUUUUGGGGUGUCAUCCUGGCUGGGUGGUAUGGAUUUCUGCUGUAAACAUGGCCCAUCUGGGAGAAGCCCAGGUGCCACGUUUUGAACAGCUCUGAAACUUAAAGCUCAGAAGGCUUUGAAAUGCAAAUAUUUUGAAGGAAACAUAAGGUUCCUUGAAUUUCUACGUGAAUUUUAGGAUCAGCUUGUCCAUUUCUGCAAAGAAGCCAGCUGAGCUUUUGAUUGGAAUUGCAUUGAAUCUGUAGAUCAAUUUGGAGAGCAUUUGCAUCUUAACAGUAUUAAGUCUUCUCAUCCAUGAACAUAUUAUAUUUUUCCAUGUAUUUAGAUCUUUAAUUGCCUUCAACAAUGUUUUGUAGUUUUUAGAAUAUAAAUCUUGCACUUCUUUUGUUAAAUGUAUUCCAAAGUAUUUCUUUUGACACUAUUGUAAGUGAAAUUGUUUUCUUAGUUUCAUUUUCAGAUUGUUCACUAUAUGAUAUCACUUUUGUGGCAUAGCAUGUGAUUGCUCAUGAAUGGUGCUGAUACACUGAUUUUUAAUGACUUGUUUAGAUAGACAAAAACUUCAAAAUAAGAUCUGCCUUAUGCACACUAGGAGCAUCCUAGCAUCUUUGAAUUCUGAGACGUCAUUUUAUUACAACAGUUUGUUUAUUGAUUUAUUUGUCGAGGGCCCCCUGUGGGCCAGACAUUCUUUUAGGAGUGAGAGGCACUGCAGUGGGUGCGGCAAAGUUUCUACCCCUGUGGAGCUUGUGUUCUCAUGGGGAAGACAGACAACAAACUAACCGCUAACCAAAUACUUAAUAUAAUUUCAGGCAAUCACAAGUCCUUUGAAAGAAAAUGAAUUAGCCUUAGGAUACAAAGUUCAGGGGUACAAUGUCAGAUUCAAUGGGAUGGUGGGGAAGGCCUUUCUGGGGAGGUGACAUAGGGACAGAAUUAAGUGCAGGGUGAGCUGUGUGGAGAGCUGGGGAGGACAGUAGGCACCAGGCCCUGGGUGGGAACACACUGCAGGGGAUGGGGGACCGUAGGAGAGCCAGCGUGGCCAGGGUAGAAGGGAGCUGAGAUGGGGAGAGGAGCUGAAGAGUUAGGCAGGGACCAGGCCACGAAGUCAGAUGGGCCAUGGUAAGCACUGUGGCUUUUACCCUGAGUGUGAUGCCAAGUCAUUGGAGAAAUUACCAAGAGCUGCAGGAGUCAGGGAAGGUGUCUUGAAAGUCAAGGAGGUAGGUGAGUUCUGCAGGGAGAAUCUGCAUGCGCAAAGCCUUCAGGGUAUGGAGAGCCAGGCAGGAGCAACAGCAGGAAAAAAGGUAUGGGAAGAAGCUCAGCCUGAUUGAAGCAAAUGGAGUACAUUCUGGAGCAAGACAAAAGAGAAAAGGGGGGAGGGUUGGCAUGCUCUCUGGUUGUAUAAUGGUCUAUCCAGAAGGUAGCUUUGGUUUUAGCCCAGAGUUUAGCCCAGAUUCAAGGCUUAGGAAACCUAGAAUUGAGCUUUGGCUCUGACGUUGACUUGUUAUAUGACCUUGGGCAAGUCAUCUCCCUUCUUUGGGGCUUGAUGUUGUCAUCUGUACAAUGGGUGCUUUAGAACAAGAACAACCUCAAGUGUGUUGCCCCUGUAAUGCAUAUCUUUGGAGACUGCUUGAUUCACCAAACCCUGGACGAGAGCCCUUGCUAGGAGAGAGGCCUUCUGUUAGCUGAGCUGGUCUAUAGCUUCUCUAAGCUCAGAUGCUUCCUGCCCUGAGGUUUGGCAGGGUGACAGGGUAGAGUGUUACUAUGAUAUAUCUCUCCCUUUCAUCAUUGCCAAGCUAAUGUGAUAGCCUGUGGCUGGUCUGUAGGGCGGCUAAGCUUGCAAGGAGCUAAUGCUGGAAAUGCUGGAAGUAAGUGUGGCAGAGUUGAUAAGUGGUAGAGAAAGGAGAUGGAGACAGGUUAAACAUAGCAAUGCCAGGCCCAACUACAUCGUGUCCUCCCAGAAAAAGUUGGGAAGCCCUCAGACACUGACUGGUCCACCUCCAUUGGUUUGCAGAGAAAGUGGACAAGGUCCAGAGAGGGAAUGACUUCUGCUUUAGGUCACCCAGCAAAUUGGAGGCAGAAUAGAAACAUGGUUCCUGGUUCUGGACUCGUGGUCUUUCCACUGCACCCCACUGCUUCUGGCAAGUUGAAAGCCAAUGCCCUUUGGGCAAGGAGAAUUAACAAGAGGUAGAGAGAGGAAUGUGUCUGAAUGUUGGUUAGUUGGUAGGAGAAACAAGAAGUGAGCAGCCUCCUGGUGGUUCUACUUCUCUCUGAUCAGGACACACUAGCACAGAGGUGCAGACCCUUGCUCUAGCUGCACCUGCCCUGGAGCCAGCAGCAGAGGGUGCUCAGGAAUCCUGAGAAGCCAGCCUGUGAGCCCUCGCUGUGCCACACCUCUGUACCCACCACAACCUCUCCACCAGCGUGAUCUGGCCCAUGACACUUUCUGCUCAGAAAUCUUUCCUUUGCUCACUUGCAGACAGGACUGGGGCAGGACUGUGGCAGCCUCUUCCCUGGGCUGCUCUAUUCAGACUCUGGGGAACUUGUAGAUGAUGAAAUUGGGAAAAUAAAAGUUGUCCUCAUUCUGGUCACCACUUUGGGAACACAGUUUUGGGAACACUUGAGAGAGGGGCUGAUUCGUAUGCCUCUGACAGACUGGCCCAGCACCCAGGAGACCGCAGCCUCCUCCAUGCCAACCAUGGCACCUGCUGGCAUAGUCCACUAGUGCCCCAGUGACAUUUGCCACUUUUCAGAGUCUUUCCUCACUCUUUACCCUCUUUAGGCCUUAGCCAGUCUGCUUUGCCAACUUGGGUGUGGUGGCUACUGUCUUUGCUCCAGCCCUUAACCUUGCGUUCUCCUGUCCUGACCAUCUGCUCCUCCUAGUGACCAUGGGGGCCAUGGACCCCAAGCCAGGCCAAUCAGAUCCUUUCCCUGGGACUUUUUGCCACUUGAGCUGGCCCAAAAGAGCUUGUUAUCCUUUUUCAUACAAAGCUGUUUAGAUAUAAGCCAGAGAUGCCUGUGACUAGUAUUUCAACCUCCUGAAAAGCUGAAACUGGAAGAAUAAAGUCAGCUGUCAGAGAAAGAGAUGGAGGUUAGAUAAAGCAUCCUAGGGUGCUUGGGUGCCUGAAUCCCACUGUACCUGGACCUCCCCUCUUUUUUGAGAGAGCUGGUGAACUUGAGUUUUUGUAGCAGCCAAAGGAACUCUGACUAAUCUGUGGAUCUGAUAACCCUGGCUUGGCCUUUUCAUGGGUUGUGAGAAUCUGAUGACCUGUCCGUGGUCCAAAACCAGCCAGGGGUAGAUCUUCAAGAAGGCUUCCCCAUCCCAAACUCCUUACAACAGCCAUUCCACUCAUCAUGUGGAAAAGUGGGUAACCAGAAAGGACAGGAAAGGUGGGGACACAUAAUUGUUGGGGCUUGACAUAGGCUCUCUCAUCUCCACACAGUUAAUAUGGUUUUACGAUAAAACAAAGAAAUAAAAUCCUAUUUUAUAAAUU
rnacentral:lncRNA from 1 species